rnacentral:rRNA from 1 species
AUCCCCUUUUCCUCCAUUCUAUUCACGCCUGAUUAGCUCGCGCCGGCGAUGGCCGCCACCAACUCCGCGCGCUAUCCCGCAUGUACUGCCGCUCAUCCUCUCUUUUGUCUUGGUUCCUCUUCACCGGUGAGCCGUAUCACGGCGCGGCGCUGCGGACAUGGUCGGCGGCGCUGUUCAGGUAGGAGACAGUCACAUAUGCUACAACCAGGGGUGUUGGUUUUUUGCUUGGAUUGCCCCGUUGUGCUGCAUGCAUCAACGGCGGCCAGCAGCUACCCAUGCUGCAACCAGCAGGUCCUAGCGACGAAGAUGACGACCUCCUGGUGCUUCAAUCGGUGAGUUUUUCUGUUGGAACCGGCCGGUGAAUAGCUACAUCCACAUUAACAAAUGCUGGAAUUAGAGACUGUAAGCUUUUUUUGCUGCGUGAACAUUUGAUUUUUGUUACAACCGGAAGAAAUUUUGCUGGAACCAGCUCUCUGUUUUGCUGGAAACGGCAUCGCUGGGUGCUGGGACGGGCUCUCUGUUUUGCUACAAUCAAUCACUAGGAGUUCUUCCUCAUGAGUCGUUUUGCUGGAACCGGUGUUCAAUUUUGCUGGAACCGGGUAAUUUUCUGCUACAAUCGAUCAAUGGAGUUCUUGCUGAUGAGUUGUUAUUUGCUGGAACCAGUGUUCAAUUUUGUUGGAACCAGGUAAAUAUUUGCUUCAACCGACAAAUGGAGGAUUUGUUGCUUUUGGAGUUUUGUGCUCGGCAUGACUGUCCAAGUUGAUGACCGCGGCGACACCGGCGGUGCUCCAACCAUGGUGUAUGUGUGCUGGAACCGGCCGCGCUAGAGCUGCAAUGGUCUGGUUUUGUCAGCUACGGACAUGACGUGCAGCGACGACGAGGUUAUAGCAGAAGGGUGGCACGGGGGCUACGACGGUAGUGUUGCAACGAGCAGCGCCGCAAGGGGACGGGUGCUGCCGCCCCUCGCCAGAGCGCACGCGCGCGGGGGGCAAGGGCAGAGAUGCUCGCGUGGAACAGGAAGGAGGGGAUUUUUGUUUGCGUUGACCAACGCAAGAGAAGGAGGCGCUUCGGCGACAGGCUACAAAUCACCAGACCGGAGGGAGAAGAACGAGUUGGGGUUAAGUGCCAGAUCGGACGGUCCCGACUCGCUGCAUCCGGCGGCUGACGUUCGACCGGCCCAACAGUUGGGCCGGCGCGCCGGCGCAGAUAACCGCCCUUUUCCAUUUGUCUUCAUUCCACAGCGAUCUCUGUUUGUCUCUUCACUCCCCCAUGCCUUAUUUUCUUCUUAAUUACCCAACCACAAUGUACUCUCUUAUGUUUUUUCUAACUAUCACCACGUUGCUUGCACUGUUGCACACACUCCUCUUGGCUUUAUUUAUACAAGCCACUCUCCUCUCCAUCACCUGAAGUGCUAACUACUACUGUGUCGUGAACUCAUCUUUUGUGAUUUGUAGUUCAAAGUUUGAGAUACAAAUUCCUUAGUUAAUCAGCAUUUCGAC